GAUGCGGCUAGCCCCGCCCCUCCUGCUGAAUCACUCUGCGCAUGCGCCUUCUCCCGGCUCUCGCGCAAUUACAAAAUGGCCGCCUGAAACCGCUUCCCGCGCUCUGCCCCUGGUUACCUGGAGAUGGUCGGCCUCUGACAGGACUGUGACAGAGGGAAUCACCGCACGGCGAGCCAGUGACCGGGACAGCGAGGUAAACAUGGGGAGAGACCAAGCCGAGCGAGGUAAUUAUAGGGAGACACCGGGCCGGGCGGCCACACACAGCCUCACCGUACAGACAUACACACAGACACACAGCCUCACCGUACAGACAUACACACAGACACACAGCCUCACCGUACAGACAUACACACAGACACACAGCCUCACCGUACAGACAUACACACAGCCUCACCGUACAGACAGACACACAG